rnacentral:rRNA from 1 species
CGAGCGGACAGAUGGGAGCUUGCUCCCUGAUGUUAGCGGCGGACGGGUGAGUAACACGUGGGUAACCUGCCUGUAAGACUGGGAUAACUCCGGGAAACCGGGGCUAAUACCGGAUGGUUGUUUGAACCGCAUGGUUCAAACAUAAAAGGUGGCUUCGGCUACCACUUACAGAUGGACCCGCGGCGCAUUAGCUAGUUGGUGAGGUAACGGCUCACCAAGGCAACGAUGCGUAGCCGACCUGAGAGGGUGAUCGGCCACACUGGGACUGAGACACGGCCCAGACUCCUACGGGAGGCAGCAGUAGGGAAUCUUCCGCAAUGGACGAAAGUCUGACGGAGCAACGCCGCGUGAGUGAUGAAGGUUUUCGGAUCGUAAAGCUCUGUUGUUAGGGAAGAACAAGUACCGUUCGAAUAGGGCGGUACCUUGACGGUACCUAACCAGAAAGCCACGGCUAACUACGUGCCAGCAGCCGCGGUAAUACGUAGGUGGCAAGCGUUGUCCGGAAUUAUUGG